AGAGUUUGAUCCUGGCUCAGGAUGAACGCUAGCGGCAGGCCUAACACAUGCAAGUCGAGGGGUAGCGGGGUGCUUGCACCGCCGACGACCGGCGCACGGGUGCGCAACGCGUAUGCAAUCUACCUCUUACUAGGGGAUAGCCCAGAGAAAUUUGGAUUAAUACCCUAUAUUAUAUUGAGUCGGCAUCGGUUUAGUAUUAAAGGUUACGGUAAGAGAUGAGCAUGCGUCCCAUUAGUUAGUUGGUAAGGUAACGGCUUACCAAGACAUCGAUGGGUAGGGGUCCUGAGAGGGAGAUCCCCCACACUGGUACUGAGACACGGACCAGACUCCUACGGGAGGCAGCAGUGAGGAAUAUUGGACAAUGGGCGCAAGCCUGAUCCAGCCAUGCCGCGUGCAGGAAGACUGCCCUAUGGGUUGUAAACUGCUUUUAUACAGGAAGAAUAAGGAGUACGUGUACUCUGAUGACGGUACUGUAAGAAUAAGGACCGGCUAACUCCGUGCCAGCAGCCGCGGUAAUACGGAGGGUCCGAGCGUUAUCCGGAAUUAUUGGGUUUAAAGGGUCCGUAGGCGGGCUGUUAAGUCAGGGGUGAAAGUCUUCGGCUCAACCGAAGAAUUGCCUUUGAUACUGGCGGUCUUGAGUUAUGGUGAAGUGGCUAGAAUAUGUAGUGUAGCGGUGAAAUGCAUAGAUAUUACAUAGAAUACCGAUUGCGAAGGCAGGUCACUAACCAUUAACUGACGCUGAUGGACGAAAGCGUGGGUAGCGAACAGGAUUAGAUACCCUGGUAGUCCACGCCGUAAACGAUGGAUACUAGCUGUUCGGGUGCAAACCCUGAGUGGCUAAGCGAAAGUGAUAAGUUCCCCCCUG
rnacentral:rRNA from 1 species